GGCAGGUGGAGCCCGACCUCGAGACCAGGGACUGGCAGUUUUAUUUCUGCCUGUCUGGAAAGGUUUAUAAACCCAGGGAAAUCUUACCGAUCCGGUCUCGAUCAUUUAAAAUAUGCAAUAAUCUCUCCUUCUCAAGACUCAAGCUCCUCCCUGUUCCUGGAAUAGCAGAAGCAUUUGCUGAAGGAUGUCAACCUUCUGCUCCUUCACACCCAGGGGUCAGCUGCGGGAGGGAACUGCAGGGACAGAGGACAGUUUGUGAGGACAAGGAGAAAGAAGAGGCGAGUCCCAGGUGGGCCGGGGCGCUGCCCCAAGCAGUAUUUCUGGCAUAUGGAUUUUUCCCUAGGUGGAGCCUUUGCAGGAGCUUUAACUUCCAGCCUGGCGGACUAGAGAGAGGGACCCCCAAAAUGCAACUUCAGUUCUCACUGUAUUUGAUCAAAUUUGUCACAGAUGGAAAAUUAACAAAAUAAAUUUA